UACGGAGGGUGCGAGCGUUGUCCGGAAUCAUUGGGCGUAAAGGGCGCGUAGGUGGCCCCUCAAGCGUGCGGUGAAAGUCAGGGGCUCAACCCCUGAUCGGCCGUGCGAACUGGGGAGCUUGAGCACUGUAGAGGCAGGCGGAAUUCCGGGUGUAGCGGUGGAAUGCGUAGAGAUCCGGAAGAACACCCGUGGCGAAGGCGGCUCUCUGGGACGGUACUGACGCUGAGACGCGAAAGCGUGGGGAGCGAACAGG
rnacentral:rRNA from 1 species